UCCAGACUCCUACGGGAGGUAGCAGUGGGGGAUAUUGCACAAUGGGGGAAACCCUGAUGCAGCGACGCCGCGUGGGUGAAGAAGUAUUUCGGUAUGUAAAGCCCUAUCAGCAGGGAAGAAAGAAGACGGUACCUGACUAAGAAGCCCCGGCUAACUACGUGCCAGCAGCCGCGGUAAUACGUAGGGGGCGAGCGUUAUCCGGAUUCACUGGGUGUAAAGGGAGCGUAGACGGCCGUGCAAGCCAGGAGUGAAAGCCCGGGGCCCAACCCCGGGACUGCUCUUGGAACUGUGCGGCUGGAGUGCGGGAGGGGCAGGCGGAAUUCCUGGUGUAGCGGUGAAAUGCGUAGAUAUCAGGAGGAACACCGGCGGCGAAGGCGGCCUGCUGGACCGCGACUGACGUUGAGGCUCGAAAGCGUGGGGAGCGAACAGGAUUAGAUACCCCGGUAC
rnacentral:rRNA from 1 species